AACCAUAGAAACCUGCGGAGUACCUGCGGAGGGAUCAUUACCGAGUUUACAACUCCCAAACCCCUGUGAACAUGCCAAUUGUUGCCUCGGCGGAUCAGCCCGCUCCCGGUAAAACGGGACGGCCCGCCAGAGGACCCCUAAACUCUGUUUCUAUAUGUAACUUCUGAGUAAAACCAUAAAUAAAUCAAAACUUUUAACAACGGAUCU
rnacentral:misc_RNA from 1 species